rnacentral:rRNA from 1 species
GUGUAGCAAUACACCGGAAGAUUUAGUGGCGAACGGGUGAGGAACACGUGAGAAACGUACCCCAGACUUUGGGAUAACAGUUCGAAAGGACUGCUAAUACCAAAUAACGUCGGAAGUCCGCAUGGACAUCUGACGAAAGGGAUUCCGGUUUGGGAGCGUCUCGCAGACCUAUCAGCUAGUUGGAGGGGUAACGGCCCACCAAGGCAACGACGGGUAGCUGGUCUGAGAGGACGACCAGCCACACUGGAACUGAGACACGGUCCAGACUCC